AGCAUACUUUAAUGAUUGUGUCAGGGGAAUCAUGCAUACAUGCUCAAUAAUUUCUUGAGAAAGCAAACAAAGAGUAACAGUACAAAUUCUUUGGACACUUCAAAUAGAAACUAGAAAAAGAUAGUCUAAUCAUUAUAGUUCUGAAAUCAGGUAUUAUGUGUUGGAUGGUUACAAUUGAUAGACAAUUAGAUAUUAUAAUAUCAAUUAAAUAUUGCAAUUAUGAUGUAGAGGUGUGAUUAGAAAUUUAACAGUACAAAAUUGUUCUCACAAUUCUCAUUUAAGUUCCAAUAAUCCUAUAGUACAUAUUAGAUGCUGCAGCGAGGGACCAUUCAAUUUGAUGAUUCUGAUUGAAGGUUCCUAUUUUAUAAAGGGGGGGUGCAGCUUUUAGUUUUGCGUACAUAUCAGAAGACUAUGGAGGGGCCAUUUGAUUUGAUGGUUACAAAAAUAUACAAGUGUAUUUCUACUCACAUUUACAUGUUUAUGUGUGUGUAUUAUGUAUGUACAUAUGCAUGUAGGUUGCAGUAAUAAUACACAAGGUGUAAAGAAAGGUCUUGCAUCAUGUACCAAAAAAGAAAGGUCUUGCAUCUACUGCAAAGUUCGAAAGUGGCGGCUAGAAAAUGGAAAUCUAAAUCAUUGGAUAUGAUAUAGAAGAAGUCUUAAAAAGCCUAUGUACAAAAAGGAAAAAAAAAAUCCUAUGUUUUGAAUUCUCCUAUCUUGUGCAUCGAGGCGUACCAAAAUCAGCACACUUAUUGUGGCAUUAGAACUGUAUAUUUGGAAGGACUUGAUCCAUAGGCAAGAGGUUUCUGGAACAUACGAUUUUUCAUGCAUAGGCAUUUGGACCUUGUAGAUCACAUCUUUCAUUUUCAUUUUGCAAUUAGAAAUUUGAGUUUUGCAGUGAGUAUGAAUUUCUCUUUGCACCUCAUAUAAGUGCAUCAAUGUAUGUGUGUAUUGCUUAAAUUGCACCAAAUUUCAAACUUGGUAAAUUUUGCUUUUACAAGAAAAUGACUGUUUUAGUCCCCGUGUAUGGCAUUAGGUAUGAAAUGCUAUUUAUGGAAGUAAGCUUUAAAGGGUAAGGGUUUAAAAGGGGCAUAUGUAUUGCAUAAAUUUAAAAUAGAAAUGGAGAUGAUGCACUGGUUUAAAAUGGUAGACAAGGGUUUUGACUGUGUGAUCAGUUUCAUUACCAGAGAUUUGUGAUACAAAAUUAUGGAGAGACCAGGACAUAAGUCAAAGUGGAGAGGUACUUAUAGGGUAUUAUGUGAUCAAUGAUAUCUUGGCAAAGCAAAAGGGGAAACUUUGUAGAAUGACAUCAAGGCAUAAAUGUUGUAUGGUUAGAAAUUUUGAGUAAUAAAAAAGGUCCAAGAAAGUAAGUUGAAUGUAGCUAAAACUAGAAUUCCUAGAUGGAUGUCAAGGAAAACUAGGAAGGUUGUAGUGAGCGAUGAGUAUGCUAGAUCUUGGAGGAAUUGUAAGAUUUUCCCAAGUUAAAGACAAAAUGAUGGAGAAUCAGUUGACAUGGUAUAGGCAUGUAGAAAGUUAUAGGGGGCUCCAGUAAGGAAAGAUGAUUUAAUUUAUGUUGAGUGACGUAGGAAAGGUAGGAGGAAGACCUCAGAUACGGUAGAUGGGGAUUCUGUGUAAAUAUAUUGAAAGGCUUGAAAUAUCGUCUAAGGCAACCCUUGCCUAUCUCAGAGAAAAGGGACAAGGUGGGACGGUUGUGAUUAUGAUAUUGCACUAGAUAGCUUUAUUUACAUGGGGAACUUUUUGUCAUUUGACCCAAGCCAUUAGUGCACAAAGGGUGAAGAAUCAUUGAUUUGAUUUGUGGACUAGAAGCAUCCAAAUCAAAUCAUUUUUGGUCUAUGUACAUUAAAAUUUCUAGAGCAGGAUCAACAGUUUAGAUUUUUCAAAUUAUAUAACUGUAGUAUAGUCUUUCUUGCUAGUUGUGUUGCUAUUGUUAAUUUUAUGCCCACUUGAAGCAUAUAUAGGAGACUUCUAAAACAAAUGACUUCUAACCUUUGGGCAUUUUAGACAUCAUAGAUCAAUGGUUUUCAUGUUAUUGAUUUUCAUUUGGAAGCAUUUGGGGCCGAAUACAUGUAUGCAGUUGGGCCUUGACUAUAUAUCUGUCAUUUCGAGAGGCCUUCGUCUUUUGUCAUCUUCAAGAUUUGUUAGGAAGGAUAUUUACUAACGCAAAAAAUAACAUGCAACACUAACUAGCAAAAAGAAAAAAAAAAGAAAACAAAUCAUGCAAUAACUGAAGUGCUCCUUAAAUGAAAAUAAGGAAAAGACAUUUUAUCUGCAAUGAAACCUGUUGCUGGAAAUUGGACCCGGGGGCGGCCGUUGGCUGAGGAGGAGCUCCGGCGUAAGAUGGCGGGUGGCGGUCCGUCGGCGGGCGGCGUCCUCCAGGGGACCUGCAAAAAGCCGGUGGCCAGGGUUUCCGGCGCCGGCCCUCCGAUGCCUAAGUCAGAGGGGGCAAAUGUAUGAGGGAAGAGAAAAUGUCUCCAGAAUUUCAGAGUCCAACCCCCUCUAAGAUGGAGGGGUUUCCCUUUUAUAGAGGGGUACAGGAUUACCUGUGAUAUGACGGGGCGAACGGGUUACCGUCAUGAUUGAACACGAUCGUGUGAAUUAAUACAUUGUCGUGGGAGAUCAGGCCGGAGUCAGUAAGUCGUCGUGGUUGAUUGGACGUGGCGGAGUAGCUCAACUGUCUGCCGUGGAGAGCUUAAGAUCCGUAGAUGGCACGCGCAUUGAUUGUUGAGUGAGCCGGAGAUCAGUGGAGGCCAUGCGCAUUAAUUGUUGACAGCAGUGGCAGGGCAUGGUCCUUGGUCGAGCUGCAGAAAGAUGUGACCGCUGCAGGUGGAUAGCGAGGUCGGACCUCCGAAGUCGAAUGCCGAGGUCAGGUGCUCGGAUCGGGCGUCUCGGAGUCGAGCGCCUGGCCGGACGUCCGACCCGGCUGCGUGUCUUAAAGUCGGACGCCUCCAGGUCGGGCGCCUUCAGGUCGGGCGCCUUCAGGCACGUGAUGGUCAUGCACCCAUGUGUUUCGGGACGACUUGUUUUUUCCUCCAACACUAUCCUCCGACUUUCGAGUUCGAGCUGUUUGCGAGCUCGAACGUGGGAAGUACAACUUUACCAUAUUGGUGUGGGCCAGGAAGCCUUAACUUAUUCCGGCGUUCCGCGUGUUUCAAAGCACUCUUAAUGAGAAAGGACGGGGCGACACCCUUUUGCCUUUCGAGGUGGUCUCGCGUUGUGGGCUUAUGAUGGGACGCCGCCUUGAUUCGGUAUUCAAAGUGUCGAUCUGAAUCGGAUAUGCCGCUUCGGUCUUCGGGGCCGACACGUGGUACGAUCUGGACGGAAGGCGGGAUCCUGCCUCUCCGAUCCGGGCCGUUGGAGAGGUCUAUAUAAAUCCUUAUCCUGGCCCCAAGGGCUCCUAUUUGGCCGCGGCUAUCGUUGCUCCUCUCCUUGUUCUCCUGUUCUCUAGUUUCCUCCGAUGGCACUCCGAGGCGUUUCCAGGCGAUCGUCUCGGUUUCUCUUCAAAUCGUCGACAUUUUCGGCGGAAAUUUUAGUAGGUGCCCCUCGUCCGCUCGGAGGGUUUUUGCUCUUUUUUCUCUUUUCUUCUUCUAUCAUUUCCUUUCUAGGAUGGGUCGUGGUCCGGACGAGGUCGGGUCCACUUUGAGUAGUGAGGAGUUAGAAAUGGCCGAUGAGUAGUUUUUUCCUCAGUGCGAGUUUCGUCUUGAACCCGCGGGGUCGAAGGAUCGGAUGACGAGGUCUCCCCCAGGUCGGAUCGGAGUGUACAUAGAGGCACUCUGGGCCGGCUUGCGGUUUCCGCUACACGGGUUCGUGAACGAUCUCCUGGCGACUUAUCAGCUUGUCCCAGCGCAGCUUGCUCCGAACGCAUGGAGGACAAUUGUCGGUUUUUUGUCCCUUUGCUUUGCGCACGGGAUACCGACUUCGGUCAGUGUCUUCCGGCGGUGCUUCUUGCUGAAGUCCAAUCCGGGGGACGGAGAGUGGCUUUACCUUGCUCUUCGGAGCGGUCGGUCACUCUUUCGAAGUGCUCGUACAUCCAUUCAUGGGUGGAAGAAGUUUUUCUUUUUAUCCUCCGAGCGUGCGUGGGGGUUUGAUACCAGGUGGGGGCAGGCCCGGCUCAAGAUCGCCAAUAAGCUCCCCAGACUUUCCGAGAGCGAGCAGGGGAUCCUCGACGCUCUUUACGGCCUCGAGGAAGAUAUUCUUCUGAAUGACCUCGUGAGCGAGGUCGUUUUGGUCAAUGUCGGCUUGAGCUCGGCGCGCCCCCAGGGUAAGGGUGGUUGUCAUUUUUUGUCUCGUUCGUUUUACUUUUUCUUUUCUUCUCUCGUCUCCUUUUUCCUGACAUCUUUUUCUUUUGUCUUUUCAGAUAUUCCGAAGAUGGUGACCAGCAACGCGGCUCUCUACGCCCGAUUCAAAAAGAGGGCAACCGAGGCCGAGGCAGGUGGGGCCCUACCCGAGCCGAGGAAAAAAGCCAAAUUAAGUGCCCCCGGGGCUGGGGCCUCCAGACCUGCUCGGAAGGAGGUUCCGAGCACCGAUCGCGGGGGCUCGAGCUUUGCGGGGACUUCUGCGGCCCUCGCUUGCCCAGCUCCCGUCUCUCAGCGUCCCAGUCGGCAGCUCGUCCGGUUGUGGCGCUCGGUCCCGAGCCGGGGAGCGGCCUAGGGGUCCCGAGCUCGUCUUCGUGAGCCCAGCGAGGCCCAGUCUUCCGGGUCCUUCGGGGGGUGAGACCCGGCAAGAGAGGAGGCCCCACUGCCCUGAGUGGGCGGUCUUCGAGGGUGACUCGGCCCUCCAUGAUGCCCAAAUAGCGUGUCAAGUCUUCCGGGUCGCUCUGCUCCCGGCCGAUCGGGCCGAGUUCCAGUUCGCGGACUUCAAUAGUCUUGUGGACGGGACCCAUUGCUCCACCAUUCGGCAUCUUCACGAGGUCGACAUGCUGAUCUCCAUGGCAGCAGACUACCGGGACAUGGCCCGAAGAUGUCUGCGGGGGCAGGAGGAGGCCGAGAGGAGGCUGGGCGAGGUCGAGGUCUUGCGGAGGGAGCUCCUCGCGAGGGUGGAGGCCGCCGAAGACGAGAGGGGCGUGCAUGCUCUGGCCAGGUCGGAGGUGCGCGUCGUCAAGGCUUGUUUGGCCGAAGCUCGCUCCGCGAUUGCUGUCUCCCAGCAUGAGGCGAGGGGCACCCAGCUAAAGGUUGAGCAGCUCGAGGCUCGAGAGAAGAGGGCCUUGGAGCAAGCUCAACAUGCGGUGCAACUCUUCCGGGAGUCGGAAGAGUUCCGCGAGUUGCUGGAGGAAGAGGCCGUGGAUGGACUUAUCCGCGGCUUCGAAGACUUUCGGAGGCAACUGAAGCGGCUCUGCCCUGAGUUCGAUCUCAGUAUGCUCCAGCCCGGAGGGGGGAUCGACGAGGACGAGGGCGGGCCCGAAGGCCCGGCUGGGGCUGAGGUCAAAGCAGCCGAGGAGGCUGCUCGGGAGGCUUCCGCCGAGGGAGCUCCUGAAGGAGUGCCUGAUGCCGUCCCUGAAGCCGCUGGCGACGUUCCCACCGAGACCUCUAUGACUGCGGCCGGGCCGGUGGAAGAACCCGGGGAGGCUCCAGCUGAGAAUCCCGAGGUGGUCGUCGUGGACGACCUUGAGGUCGGUGCCGAAGCUGCGACUACUCCUUAGGACUUAGUCUUUUUUCUUCUUUUGGUUCUUCUUUUUGUAAGUGAGGUCAGCCAUUGGAAUUAUUGUAUGGUCGAACCUCGAUUUUGUACUUGGCCUUCAGGCCUAUCAAUGAAGAACUUCUCUUUUUCCA